rnacentral:tRNA from 1 species
GGGUGCCGUUACCAAGAAUCGAACUUGAGGCUCGUCCUUACCAAGGACGCGUUUUACCACUAAACUAUAACGGC